UGCCAGCAUGGGUCAAAGUCACUACACCUGCUGAGACGGCUGAGGAAACGGAAAUGGGCGUCGCUGAACUUCACUGGACUAACAGAAAAAAUAUUCUGCACUACUUUACCAGAAGGUGGCAGCAUGUUGUUUGCUAGGCCUAUCCUCUCUCUUUUAACUCUGGCGCAGACACGUGGCGAAGGCGUCUCGGAACGGAGAGGCCAGGAGGAAAGGCGACGGGGCAGAAGCACAGACGCAGAGCUACCGCCGUCCCCGACGUGCACUGUGCAAGUUUACAGUUUACAAAGCACGUCUCGCAGCCCCUCGUGCAAGGCCCCGCAGUGUCGUGGUCUAAAGCAGCAAACCGGGGUCUGAACUCAAUCUCUGCCUGGCUAGCUGUGUGGCCUUGGUGAAAGAAGCGGGAAAAGAAUAAAUGAGAAUUCACAAGGCAAGUCCGCUUCCAAAGAGCAUCGCUGCCAGACAAGGCGGACUCCCCCAGCGCGACCGCAGGCGGGCGGCCGCCAGAAACCGUGCUUAAUAUUUCAACGAGGGUUCACGUCAUUACAAAAUGUGACUUCACCAACCAGGCAGGUUGCGCCAGGGCGUUUUUGCGUGAUUGGGCUUUUGGAGAAUAAAGAAGGAAGGCGGUAGAAAUGCAGCCAGAAUUUCAUUUUUAUUCUCUCAGAAUUACAGGAAAGAAAUGAUGACCCAGUAAAGCAUGAGAAUUCGUGUUUAACAUCCCAAGAGAAUUCUUUAUGUUUAGAAAUCCCCAUAUAGAUUGUAUACAACUAAGAACGUUCCUUGUAUGAAUUAUGCAUGUUGGAAGUGACUCUCCCAAAAUCUGAAUGGGAAAUUCACUGAUCUAUAAGAACACAGGUUAAAUUCUG